AACGAACGCUGGCGGCAGGCUUAACACAUGCAAGUCGAGCGCCCCGCAAGGGGAGCGGCAGACGGGUGAGUAACGCGUGGGAACGUACCUUUUGGUUCGGAACAACUCCGGGAAACUGGAGCUAAUACCGGAUAAGCCCUAACGGGGAAAGAUUUAUCGCCGAAAGAUCGGCCCGCGUCUGAUUAGCUAGUUGGUGAGGUAACGGCUCACCAAGGCGACGAUCAGUAGCUGGUCUGAGAGGAAGAUCAGCCACACUGGGACUGAGACACGGCCCAGACUCCUACGGGAGGCAGCAGUGGGGAAUAUUGGACAAUGGGCGCAAGCCUGAUCCAGCCAUGCCGCGUGAGUGAUGAAGGCCUUAGGGUUGUAAAGCUCUUUUGUCCGGGAAGAUAAUGACUGUACCGGAAGAAUAAGCCCCGGCUAACUUCGUG
rnacentral:rRNA from 1 species